rnacentral:sRNA from 1 species
GGCUGUUCCCCUCUGGAGGUUUUUUAACCUUCACAAUUCAGGCCGGGCUUUUUAGUCCGGCUCUUUUUUUUGCCUGU